rnacentral:rRNA from 1 species
UACGAAGGGGGGCUAGCGUUGCUCGGAAUCACUGGGCGUAAAGGGCGCGUAGGCGGACUCUUAAGUCGGGGGUGAAAGCCCAGGGCUCAACCCUGGAAUUGCCUUCGAUACUGAGAGUCUUGAGUUCGGAAGAGGUUGGUGGAACUGCGAGUGUAGAGGUGAAAUUCGUAGAUAUUCGCAAGAACACCAGUGGCGAAGGCGGCCAACUGGUCCGAUACUGACGCUGAGGUGCGAAAGCGUGGGGAGCAAACAGG